ACUGUGGAGUAUCAAAAAAUGUCGGUAGCUAAGGCAAAGACAGAUACGUUGAAGCAGUAA
rnacentral:sRNA from 12 species